UAUAAAGACGAUCAACCAGGAAAUGUUUCUUUUUCAUGCAUUUAUUGAUUUAUUUUUCAUUUCUGAUGUGCAGAGAAAGCUCCAUUAUGGAGGUCAAGAUCAGGUGAGAAAAACAAAUAUAUUUAUUUAUUCUAAUUCUACUAAGAUGUGGAUCAAACUGAUGAAGAUACAAUUAUAAAAUUAUAUGUGAAAGGAAAUUUGAUGAGAAUUUUAUUUCAUAAUUGUUUCUGUUUUAUUUACGCCCAGUAAUACUUCUAAUCCAGUCC